rnacentral:rRNA from 1 species
AUUGAACGCUGGCGGCAUGCCUUACACAUGCAAGUCGAACGGCAGCACGGGUGCUUGCCCCUGGUGGCGAGUGGCGAACGGGUGAGUAAUACAUCGGAACAUGUCCUGUAGUGGGGGAUAGCCCGGCGAAAGCCGGAUUAAUACCGCAUACGAUCUACGUAUGAAACCGGGGGACCUUCGGGCCUCGCGCUAUGGGGUUGGCCGAUGGCUGAUUAGCUAGUUGGUGGGGUAAAGGCCUACCAAGGCGACGAUCAGUAGCUGGUCUGAGAGGACGACCAGCCACACUGGGACUGAGACACGGCCCAGACUCCUACGGGAGGCAGCAGUGGGGAAUUUUGGACAAUGGGCGAAAGCCUGAUCCAGCAAUGCCGCGUGUGUGAAGAAGGCCUUCGGGUUGUAAAGCACUUUUGUCCGGAAAGAAAUACUUGGCCCUAAUACGGUCGGGGGAUGACGGUACCGGAAGAAUAAGCACCGGCUAACUACGUG